rnacentral:ribozyme from 11 species
AAAAAAAAAAAAAAAGAGAAGAAGAAAAUGAGGAACAUAUCAUCAUUAUCAUUACAACACUGUUGUUGUUUCUCCCCUUCUUCUUCUUG